rnacentral:tRNA from 1 species
AGAGACUUAGGAUAACAUCAAGACCGUGAGCCUUCAAAGCUCCUAGCAGGAGUGAAAAUCUCCUAGUCUCUG